CGAUGCAAUAAAAAUAAAUGCGGAAAAUAAAAAGCACACCGAGAUUUACGUGGGAAAACUCCAACUUGGAGAAAAACCCACGGGACCAAUACGCGAAAAAAUAAUUCACUAAGAGAAAAGAUUACAAAGUGAUUACCGACUCCACGGACUCAACCUCUCUUAACCUCCUAUGAAUCUUCGCGCUACCCUCCGGGCUGUCCACACCCUCACGUUCGAAUCCACGAACGCCUCCACUUCGAAUCCACGAAGCUUCAAUCACGCCGAAUCCACGACGCCACUCGAAUCUACGAGCCAACGAUCCGAAUCCAUGAACCGCCUUU
rnacentral:lncRNA from 1 species